rnacentral:lncRNA from 1 species
GGAGAUCAUGUUUCUCUAAAUAUUGGCAGGUUAGCAGCAAAUGUGAGAAAGGAUUUGGAAAAAUUAGGUCCAAAUCCUUUAUGGGAAGAGUGUUGUAUCUAUAAAGUUCCAAAGCGACUGCGAGUGUUAAACGACAAGGCCUACACACCUCAAGUAGUCUCCAUUGGUCCCUUUCAUCGUGACAAAUAGGAGCUGCAAGAGAUGGAAGAACGUAUUAGAAUGUACCUGCAGGAUUUUCUUAUAUGUAGCAAUGCAAGACUGGAGGACUUUAUUGAACUCAUAGGCGACCGUGAAGCAACACUGCGUAAUUGUUAUGCCGAAACCUUGGAAGAUAUUAUCAGUGAAGAAUUUGUGAAAAUGAUCUUAGUAGAUGCUGCCUUCGUCAUUAUGGUCAUACUGAAACCAAGCUUCAUUGCUUUCCGAGGCAGAAACGACCGUAUCUUCUCUUGUCGAUGGAAGAUACGUGAGGUAAGGAUUGACCUGUGCUUGCUUGAAAACCAGCUCCCAUUCUUCAUUCUCCAGGACAUGCUUAAGCUAUCCAAGAUAUUCACCCCUUACAAGGAAAGUAUAUUAAUUAUGCUUGUCCAUGAAUUCUUAAGAGGUGUGUGGGGCUCAUGGGCGACAGAAGAUUAUGUGGAGAUACGUAGUUCUUCUGAAAUAGAACAUUUUGUUGGCUUCCUGAGAAUUUAUCAGCAACCAACAAGGCCACACCGGCCAAAAAUACCCAAACGCCUAACGACAAGCACUGCGAAGAUGCUGCAUCAAGCUGGGGUCAAAUUUCAGUCACGCUCGGACCAAAAAUUGCUUCACAUAGAAUUUAAUAAAGAGUUUCUGAAAAUCCCACAGUUCAGAAUAUCAGAUGAUACGGAAAUCUUAUUGAGAAAUCUUCAAGCCUUUGAGCAAUGCCAUUGCGGCGACAGUUAUGUAGGUAACUAUAUUCACAUGAUGGAUUUGCUUGUUGAUUCUCCUGAGGAUGUUGAAAUUCUUGUUCGAUAUGGAAUUAUAGAAAAUUUCUUGUCAAAUAAUGAAGCAGUGUCUACUCUUUUUUACGAUCUUUCCAGAGAAAAUAUGUUCUCCUCAGAUAAUUUCUACUUCUCUGAUGUCCUGGAAGAUUUGAAUAAUUACUACGGAAGAGAUUGGCCGAGAUGGAAGGCAAACUUGAGACAAAAUUAUUUCCAAAAUCCAUGGUCCAUAUUCUCUGUUAUUGCUGCUGCUUUUCUCCUCCUACUUACGAUCAUCCAGGCGGUGUGUUCCAUUAUUCAACUCGUUUAGAUUCUACCGUUUCAAUUGUUUCAUUUCCUGUAGAAAGCUACAUAUAAUGUAGAAUAAACAUGGAAAUUCAGUGUUGUUUUCUCCUAGCUAGCAAGUGUGUUUAUCAAGUACUCAAAUAAGGAUUAUGAAAUGUAAUGUAAAUAUUGGUGAAUUGAAUAUUGCAUCAAUUAGUCACUACAAUCAUUGUUGUGUUGUUGUAUUUGAUUCAAGGACGAUCCAAAAAAAGAUUUGGGUCACCAGGUUACUUGGUCAAUAUUUUUAUUAAAAUGACAUUAUUUAUUUAUUUGAAUUUCUUAAUGCUGAUCUCAUUGAAUUUGGACUAGGUCAACCAAGUUAUUAAAAACCAUAUUGGGUUUAACUAGGUUUCAUUAAAUCAAUGUCUUUUUCAGUUUAAUUUAAAACUCAAUCCUAAUUUAGUUAAAAAAAAACAAUGCUCAGCUACUACUGUAUUUUAAAGAAAGAAAAAAUAAUUCAACUCAAGUCAUAAACACAAUUGUUAAAGUCUGACAAGGUAUAGCGACUAGGUACCCACAUUGAAGAAAGAUAGUCUAGUCAUCAACGUCGAAUCAGAUGAAUGAGAUUUGAUGAAUUACCUCUCAUUUAUAAUUUUCAAUCCUCUCUUUUAAUUUGAUUUGAUGAAUUACCUCUCAUCUUUCCUUUUUUUUCCUUGUAAUUCUCAGGAUGCAUUAAUUGACUCUCAUAUUUUCCUUCUUUUAUUAUCCACAUUACUAGAGGGAAAGAGAGUAACCUUUUUGGACUUGGACCCGUUCAUCUUCCCCAAAUAUAUUUUUGUUAGACUGUUAUUAAUUAACGUGACUCGAAUAUAAUAAAUCUAUAUCCAAUUAAUUUAAUCAGAGCCUCCUGUAUAAUAAUGCAUAGAGUCCAUUGGGCCCGUGGCUUAAAUUAUUGGUAAGUCUGACUCUUGCCUUCAACGAAUCUUAGAUGGACUGACAUUGGGUCUCAAUAAUUUUAAUUAAACUCAAGAUUUUCAAUUCAUGUCCAACAGUUCAAGUAAAGACUAAAGAGAUUUUUUUUUGGUUAGCAGUGGUAAAAUUAUAAUUUUUAUUUUUUAGAAAUUUUUUUUUAUUUUUUCUCUAUAUACUUGGAUUUUUUUAUUAUUUUACACUUGGCGUAUUUAUCAUUAUUUUUUUGUAAUAUUUUGUAAUUAUUUUUUUUCUUUACAUUUUUUUUAAAAAAUAUUAUUUUUUAUUUCUUACACUUUGAAUAUUUAUCACUCUACACUUAAUAUAUUUAUAUCAUUCUUUUUGUUCUUAUCUUUAUUCUUUUGUAAUUUAUUUUUUAAUUUUUUUCUUUACAUGUUUUUUUUUUAAAUUGUUAUACAAAGACUAAGGUAAUGAUAUUUCACUAUAGUAAUUUCAACAUUGUUCAAUUCUUUUGCUAAGGUAAAAAUUAACGUGAUAUUUUACAUGAUUUUUUAUUAGUGUAUAUGAUCUUUAGUAUAUUUUAUUAUAUUUAAGCAUUGAUUUUUUGUUUUACGAUUAUAUUUUUUAUUCGAUGUUAAAAAACAAACUAAUAACAUCUAUACAUUAUUUUUUUUGUAUUAAAAAAAAAUUAUUCAAAGUGCGACAAAGAUUAAAUUAAUUUUAUUUUUGUUAAUUAAAUUGGGAUCAUGAAAAAGGACCCGAUUAAGCAGCAAUAUACAUUUGGCAAGUUGGCUUGCUGCCAGGGGACCGUGUACUUUACCAUUAACCCAAUAGGAUAUAUUCUUUGAUCUUGAUCCACGGCCAUAGAUAAAGACUAAGAGAACGGAUUCUCCACUGUUUCAAGCAUGCAUGGAAUUGCCCACAUGAAAGAAUAAGAAUUUGUUCACCAAUUGGAAUAUCAAGUACAGAAGAACCAUAUUACAAUAAUGUAGAGAUUUUGUCACAAAAUUAAAAGGCCUAUAUAUGUAGAGAACUUAAAAAUUCAGUGUAAAUAUUCUUAGACACAGAAACGGGCAGGACACAAGGCAAGAAAAGUUUCAGAAUUAUAUAAGAAAAAGAAAAUUCUGUAGAAAAUGAAUCUGAAAAAAUCACCGAGUUCGAUUUUCUGAUUAUUGUGAAGAAAGCGUAUGAAAGCCAUGCAAGUUUGCUUGCCGAGAAAAUAGUGUACUGUAUUUUGCUGCAGAGGUUCUUUGAGGAGCUUAGAGGGAAGAUUUUGAAGCCAAUCAAAGUAAGUCCUAAUUUAGAAAAGCCAUAUGUUUUUUGCUAUCUUCGUGUUCUUUGUUGUCAUAAGGCAUGCUUUGAAUCACAGUUAUUAAAUUCAGUUGAUCUGGCGGGUCACUUUAUAGCCUGACUAGGCUUGAGCUUGGUUUUUUUUUAACCAAGGUGGAUGUUCAUCUGAUUAAAUCUGAAUGACUCAGCAAUUUAACCUAUGUUUUGUUUGAUUUUAUCAAUGUUUUGAUUGAUUUUAUCAAACCCGGUCAAUUCCAAGUUUUUUUUUUAAUUUUUAUCAAGAAUAAUAUUGUUUUAUUAAAAAAAAUACUAAAAAUAACGUGGUUUUGGGUUGACCCAUCUAACCUGCUAUCCAAGCUUUGGACUGGGUUGGACCGAGGCCUCUUCUAAUAACUUUGGUUUGAAAUGAAAGUUCAAUAAGAUCUCCGCUUUCUGUAGUUAUUUGAGACUCUUUUGUGUGAGAAUUCAUAGAAUAUUCAUCUGCUCUUUACAUUUAUGUUUGUAUUUGUUUGAGUAUUAGUAACAUCGAAUAAUUGUUGAGUCUGAUAGCUAGAUAUAAUCCUGGUUCAUUCACAGGAUUAAGACUGCCGAAAAAUCAAGUGAGAAAAAUGAGAAGGGAGAUCAUGUUUUUCUAGAUAUUGACAAGUUAGCAGCAAAUAUGAGAAAGGAUUUGGAAAACUUAAGUCCUUUAUCUAAAGAGUGUUGUAUCUAUAAAGUUCCCAGGCGACUGCGCGUGUUAAACGAAAAGGCCUACGCACCUCAAGUAGUCUCCAUUGAUCCAUUUCAUCGUGACAAAAAGGAGCUCCAAGAAAUGGAAGAACAUAAAAGAAUGUACCUGCAAGAUUUUCUUAAAUGGAGCAAUAUGCAAGAUUGGAGGACUUUAUUGAACUCAUUGGCGAUAGUGAGGCAACACUGCGUAAUUGUUAUGCCGAAACCUUUGAAGAUAUUAGCAGUGAAGAAUUUGUGAAAAUGAUCUUAGUAGAUGCUGCCUUCGUCAUUAUGUGUUGGGAUUUGCCAUUAAUGGGCAACCUACCCUAAGAAGUAGGGUUACCAUUUGUCAAUGGUAGUUGCACCCACCAUUGACAAAUGUAUCAACCCAUGUGCAACCAUUGUUGAGAAAACACCAUUGUUGCCUAUAAAAGGGCACCGGGAGUGAGAGCAAAAUGAGAGAGAGAGGGUUGUAGAGAACAAGAGAGAGAUACGUGAGGAGAGAAAGAGGGAGUAGCUGCCCAGGGCAGCAACCCCUGCUGCCUUUGUGCAGCAGUGUGUGAAGAGCAAUGGGGAGUUUGAGUUUGAGUGAAGUGAGCCCUCCUCCCUCCCAUGUGUGUGGAACCCUUUCUCUAUCUAUCUCUAAUAAUAUUGACUCUCCCGGGGGAUGUAGGCGGUUUUGCCGAACCACGUAAAAUAUUGUGUCUCAGUGUGCUUUACCCUCCUUUGAGCAACUAUCAGUACACCACCAGUCCGCGCAUGGGGGAGACGGAAUCCCCAACAAUUGGUAUCAGAGCACAUGGUUUAAAGGGGUGUUUGUUUUUUGCUCAAAAAUGAAAGUUCUCAAAAUGGUGUUUUGACCAUACCACUGUGUAGAGGAGAAAGAGACGAAGCCACUGGUGAAAAUGGCGUCGAAAUCAGACGUCGGAAUAGUCCUCACGCGCCGUCACGCGCCGGCAAGGUUGCUGGCCACGCGCACAGACGCGCGCCACGCGUUGCACGCGUCAUCUCCACUCGGAUAAGCUGACUUGACCCGAAUACCAGUCGACCCGACCCACGUGCCAGACCCGGAUAAGGAUGACGUAAUCAUGACGCCAGCAUACACGGUCAGCGUCCAGUCAGCAGACACGUCAUCGUCCAGUCAGCAGCCACGUCAGCAAAGUGGGACCCACAUGAAACGGUUGAAGACUAGCAGGAUGACGACACAAGGGAAUAGUUUGUAAUGAAACGGUUGAAGACUAGCAGGAUGACGGCACAAGGGAACAGUUGGGUUCCGUAUGUUCAAGGAUCUGAUGGAGUGAUGAUUUCUCCAAAGAAGUUAGAUUCAGUAACUGUGAUUUCUCGAGGGGAGAAUUGAUGAAGACCCUGAUAAUAGAAGAGAAAUACAGCAAAGGGAUAAAGAUUGACACCCUAUUUUGACUUGGACAGGUGUUGUGACAGGAUGAGCUGCUGUCAAACAUAAGCAAGGAAUAUGGAGAAAUCUGGAGAACAGAAAUUGCACGAGGGCACACGGAGAUUGUGCAGGAGUACCCGUAGGAUCCAACGAGGUACUAUAAUGAGACAACAGGUGCAAGGAGAAGAAGUGUUCCCAGAUGAAGCUUAGAGCAGAGACUGUUAAAGUUUGUACAACAGGAAGUCUCUUAUGCUCUUGAUGAAGACAACAAUCGGCGAAGACCUUUCCAAUGCAUGCAAGGAUGGAAAGAGAGCUGUUGUGGAGGCACCUAAUUGAGGGGGUGCAAAUGCUUGUGAUACAAGGCAACCACCUAUGAUGAAAGGCGAAGACACUAAAAAGAGUUGGUGUAGGUGGAGCUGUCAAGCAGAAAGACACAAAAGCUCCAAACAUAGAAAUCGAGGUGGAGGAUUGCGAGGAGUAUACCGCAAGUUUCUCUUUCUAUGUAAUCAGUGGCAGUGAUCUCCCAUAGUGCACAUGGUGGUAGAGAACUUUGGAGCCACUUUGAAGCAUCUCAAUUAAAAAAGGAUGCGACCGCCUAUGAAAGGCGAAAACACCUUAGAGAGAAGGUGUGAAGGCCGUGAUAGGAGCCCCAGUUCAGACCGCCUUAUGAAAACAGGCGAAGACACCUUAGAGAAGGUGUGAGGGCCAUGAUAGGAGCCCCAAUUCAGACUGCCGUAUGACGACAAGCGGAGACACCUAAGGAGAAGGUGUGUGGGCCAUGAUAUGAGCCCAGUUCAGAACAACCCCAGAGCCAAUGUGAUGGCUGGAUAUGAGUGGACAUGUGUAUAGCCAAUGAAGUGGCUAUGAUGAGUAUGAAGACAAAUGCAAGAUUGACUUUCAUGGAUAUUGCCCCCAUGCUAAAGAUCAAUGAGCUAGAAGACAUUUGCCUUGGACAAUAAGUGUGUGACUUGUGGAGCAUUAAGACGCGGCUGCUAUGAAGGAGCAGAGGGCAUGCGCAGGUUCCGGGAACAAGUUGACUCUUGUCAAGGUGGUGAGCUCGGUCAAGGCAUUGUAAUACUCAGUAUCAAGACAUAUAUGGAUCAACCUUUAAUGGGUUGCCCCCAUAGGUGAAGGUGGAGAGCUACCUGGACUCUUGAGACUAAGAGCGAGAGACUCACGGAGAAGUAAAGCGUGGUUCCUAGGGUGGAACAGAGGGCAGACGCAACUCCUGGAUGAGUAGACUCUUGGAAGAGUGGUGAGCUCGUGAUCAUAUUGAGAUACUCAAAUAAUGACUGUCGCACUUGGAAAUAGAAAUUUAUGUUUGAGGGGGUGUUGUAAGCCUUGGUGUGAGGCUUGAUGAAUCAUUUCGGACCGAGCAUGGUUGAUACGCUCGAAGGGGAAUGCAGUGUGUCCCAGAGACAAGCGUUAACACUCUUCAGAUGUGAAGUGACAGACCAUCUGGUUGUAGUGAUCCUUUUAUGUGAGAAAAGGUGUGCUUUGGUAACUCUGGUGAUUGAAAGGUUUGGCGAGUACCUGUAAACUCAGCCACAGAUGCUCUCAGAAUGGUAAGCUUGGAAAAGCUGCAAGAUGCAAGCCUGUGCUGAAGAAGCAAGAGGACAAUUGCCCCACAUGAAUGGCAAAGGGGGUGAUUGUUGGGAUUUGCCAUUAAUGGGCAACCUACCCUAAGAAGUAGGGUUACCAUUUG